rnacentral:rRNA from 1 species
AGCUCUCUCUUCGGAGGGGGUUAGCUAUGUGAAAGCAUGGUUAGUCUACACAGGUGUUGCAUGGCUGUCGUCAGCUCGUGUCGUGAGAUGUUCGGUUAAGUCCGGCAACGAGCGCAACCCUCGCUGUCAGUUACCAACGAGUAAUGUCGGGGACUCUGACAGGACUGCCGGUGAUAAACCGGAGGAAGGCGGGGAUGACGUCAAGUCAUUAUGACCCUUACGCCCAGGGCUAGACACGUGCUACAAUGGUCGAUACAAUGAGCAGCGAGACCGCGAGGUGGAGCAAAUCUCAAAAAGUCGGCCCUAGUACGGAUUGGAGUCUGCAACUCGACUCCAUGAAGCUGGAAUCGCUAGUAAUCGCUUAUCAGCAUGAAGCGGUGAAUACGUUCCCGGGAAUUGUACACACCGCCCGUCAAACCAUGGGAAUCGGUAGCACUCGAAGUCGCUGACCCAACUGUAAAGAGGGAGGCGCCGAAAGUGAGAUUGGUGACUGGGGUUAAGUCGUAACAAGGUA